GCAGCCGCGGUAAUACGAAGGGUGCAAGCGUUAAUCGGAAUUACUGGGCGUAAAGGGCGCGUAGGCGGUCUGUUAAGUCCGAUGUUAAAUCCCGGGGCUCAACCCCGGAUAAGCGUUGGAUACUGGCAGGCUAGACGGUUGGAGAGGCGAGUGGAAUUACCAGUGUAGCGGUGGAAUGCGUAGAUACUGGUAGGAACACCCAUUGCGAAGGCAGCUCGCUGGACAACACGUGACGCUGAGGCGCGAAAGUGUGGGGAGCAAA
rnacentral:rRNA from 1 species